AAAAGAUGAAAUUGUACAGCUUACUUUUGAUUAGGAGGUGAUGAUUGUAGAAAGAAAAGCUUGUUAAUGGCCAAAUGAAUCCAUAAUAAAGAAUAAUCCAGUGAUGGAGAACUUUAAAACUGUCACACAUAAUUGCAGCAUAACUAAGG